AAAAUAUAGAAGUCCUUUCAGGACUGGGUGCAUUCUACAUCUCUGCUGAACAGGAAAUAGGGAAAAGAGGGGGUAAUGCAGGAGAAAGACAGCAGUACUGGCAAAUAUUUUAAUCACCGGUGAUAUUUGGAUGGCCUCAUUGCCCAUCUCGAGAGACAUUUCUGUGAGGUUGGAAUUGUGGCUGCAUUUGGAAUACUCGGUCCACAAGCAGUUACACCCCCUGAUGACACUGCACACACAAUGAUGAUUACACUGAGGAUACUAGUAGAGAAGUUUUGUUCAUGUGUCGAUUUUGAGCAGUCCUUGAAGAAUGGGCUUCUUUCAAGGAGCAAGUGGUCUCAGGUCCACUUAAGAACAAGACACAGCUGGAAAUAUUGUCCUCAAAAUAUGAGGAGUUUAGUGUCCUGUACCCAACUGUGAGCUUGCUGGCUUCUAUUGCUCUGACGUUCCCAGUCAGUAGUGUAAACUGUGAAAGGGACUUCUCAACCAUAAACAGGGUAAUACAAACUUUUCACAAUAGGAUUUGCUGCUUUUAGCUAUAUGUUGCUAUCACAUUUAACAGUUAAUGCAUUUGCAGGUCAAGACAAACAUCCACAAUAGACUGCAAGGAGACAAACUUGCUGCAUGCAUGUAGAUCUCAAUAAAUUGGCCAUUUCAAGAGGCUCUGGAAAUGUUCUUCCAGAAGCCAAGAAAUAUACACUGCAGUGACAAAAGCUGCACACUUUGUGGAUAAAUAACAUGUUUAGUGUACAGCCUUAUAAUUGUUUCAUUUAAUAUAUUCACUGCUGCCAUUAAAAAAAGCAAAUGAACACCAUGACUCCUUUAAGUCUUUGUGUCUGUGUCAAUUUGUGAAUGCUGAGCUGAUGUCUAUGAACAGCAGCUGGUCUGCACAUCCUCUGAGCAUUUUGCCUGCAAUAUUGUCUGGUCCUUCAGCUUUUCGUGGGUUAACUCUGCUCAAAGUCUUCCUCACAUCAUCUCUGGAGAAACACGGUAUGUGAUCAUGGGGAGGUGGGAUGAACUUCCUUCGCAAUGGUGUCAUUAUGUGCCUCAAAACGUGCAUAAAAGUCAUUCAGUGCAUCUGGGAGGGAGGUUACAGGCAGGUGGUGAUGACCUGUAGUUGGUGAUGGUUUGGAUGCCUUGCCACAUAUGCAGAGUGUUGAUGCUGUCCCUGAACUGGUUGUGGAUUCUCUGGGAGUAUGUGCACUUUGCUUUUCUGAUUGCCUGAGACAGUUUGGCCCUUGCUUCUCUUAGUGCUGCCUUAUCAGCCGUUUUGAAGGGAGAGUCAUCCAUGGUUUCUGGUUGGUGUGUGUAGUGAUUGUCGUUGGAGUAUUUGAUGUCAUCUGUCACGGGCCGGUAAGGACCACCAAAGAAGGGUCUGGGUCAAAAAUGCAGGGGAAAAAACUCCUUUUAAUAAACAAAAGCCAACAAGGCAAAAACAAAACAGACAAGAUAACCAGGACAAGGGCAGAAGCAGUAGAAAUGCAAGACACGAGCAACAAUUAACA